rnacentral:rRNA from 1 species
AGGGUUUGAUCAUGGCUCAGGAUGAACGCUGGCGGCGUGCUUAACACAUGCAAGUCGAACGUGAAGAUGCAGCAAUGUAUCUGAAAGUGGCGGACGGGUGAGUAACACGUGGGUGACCUGCCUUGUAGUGGGGGAUAACCAUGGGAAACUGUGGCUAAUACCGCAUGGUCUUGAUAAGGGUGGACUUUAUCAGGUAAAGCUUUAGUGCUACGAGAGGGGCCUGCGGUCGAUUAGGUAGUUGGUGAGGUAAUGGCUCACCAAGCCGAUGAUCGAUAGCCGGUCUGAGAGGACGAUCAGCCACACGGGAACUGAGAGACGGUCCCGACUCCUACGGGGGGCAGCAGUGAGGAAUAUUGGGCAAUGGGCGCAAGCCUGACCCAGCAACGCCGCGUGGAGGAUGAAGGUCUUUGGAUUGUAAACUCCUUUUGCAGGGGAAGAGAGCGGACGGUACCCUGAGAAUAAGUCACGGCUAACUACGUGCCAGCAGCCGCGGUAAUACGUAGGUGACAAGCGUUAUCCGGAAUUACUGGGCGUAAAGCGCACGCAGGCGGCUGAGUAAGUCUGACGUGAAAUCUCCCGGCUUAACCGGGAGCGGUCGUUGGAAACUACUUGGCUUGAGGCGAUGAGAGGGGUGUGGAAUUCCCGGUGUAGUGGUGGAAUGCGUAGACAUCGGGAGGAACAUCAGUGGCGAAAGCGGCACCCUGGCAUUAGCCUGACGCUCAGGUGCGAAAGCGUGGGGAGCGAACGGGAUUAGAUACCCCGGUAGUCCACGCCGUAAACGAUGAACACUAUGUGUGGGUGGUCUCAAAAUCAUCUGUGCCGAAGUAAACGCGAUAAGUGUUCCGCCUGGGGAGUACGGCCGCAAGGCUAAACUCAAAGGAAUUGACGGGGGCCCGCACAAGCAGCG